GCGGGACACGUGGUAUCCUGUCUGAAUAUGGGGGGACCAUCCUCCAAGGCUAAAUACUCCUGACUGACCGAUAGUGAACCAGUACCGUGAGGGAAAGGCGAAAAGAACCCCGGCGAGGGGAGUGAAAAAGAACCUGAAACCGUGUACGUACAAGCAGUGGGAGCCUCUUAAUGGGGUGACUGCGUACCUUUUGUAUAAUGGGUCAGCGACUUAUAUUCUGUAGCAAGGUUAACCGAAUAGGGGAGCCGAAGGGAAACCGAGUCUUAACUGGGCGUUAAGUUGCAGGGUAUAGACCCGAAACCCGGUGAUCUAGCCAUGGGCAGGUUGAAGGUUGGGUAACACUAACUGGAGGACCGAACCGACUAAUGUUGAAAAAUUAGCGGAUGACUUGUGGCUGGGGGUGAAAGGCCAAUCAAACCGGGAGAUAGCUGGUUCUCCCCGAAAGCUAUUUAGGUAGCGCCUCGUGAAUUCAUCUCCGGGGGUAGAGCACUGUUUCGGCAAGGGGGUCAUCCCGACUUACCAACCCGAUGCAAACUGCGAAUACCGGAGAAUGUUAUCACGGGAGACACACGGCGGGUGCUAACGUCCGUCGUGAAGAGGGAAACAACCCAGACCGCCAGCUAAGGUCCCAAAGUCAUGGUUAAGUGGGAAACGAUGUGGGAAGGCCCAGACAGCCAGGAUGUUGGCUUAGAAGCAGCCAUCAUUUAAAGAAAGCGUAAUAGCUCACUGGUCGAGUCGGCCUGCGCGGAAGAUGUAACGGGGCUAAACCAUGCACCGAAGCUGCGGCAGCGACACUAUGUGUUGUUGGGUAGGGGAGCGUUCUGUAAGCCUGUGAAGGUGGCCUGUGAGGGUUGCUGGAGGUAUCAGAAGUGCGAAUGCUGACAUAAGUAACGAUAAAGCGGGUGAAAAGCCCGCUCGCCGGAAGACCAAGGGUUCCUGUCCAACGUUAAUCGGGGCAGGGUGAGUCGACCCCUAAGGCGAGGCCGAAAGGCGUAGUCGAUGGGAAACAGGUUAAUAUUCCUGUACUUGGUGUUACUGCGAAGGGGGGACGGAGAAGGCUAUGUUGGCCGGGCGACGGUUGUCCCGGUUUAAGCGUGUAGGCUGGUUUUCCAGGCAAAUCCGGAAAACCAAGGCUGAGGCGUGAUGACGAAGCACUACGGUGCUGAAGCGACAAAUGCCCUGCUUCCAGGAAAAGCCUCUAAGCAUCAGGUAACAUCAAAUCGUACCCCAAACCGACACAGGUGGUCAGGUAGAGAAUACCAAGGCGCUUGAGAGAACUCGGGUGAAGGAACUAGGCAAAAUGGUGCCGUAACUUCGGGAGAAGGCACGCUGAUAUGUAGGUGAAGCGACUUGCUCGUGGAGCUGAAAUCAGUCGAAGAUACCAGCUGGCUGCAACUGUUUAUUAAAAACACAGCACUGUGCAAACACGAAAGUGGACGUAUACGGUGUGACGCCUGCCCGGUGCCGGAAGGUUAAUUGAUGGGGUUAGCGGCAACGCGAAGCUCUUGAUCGAAGCCCCGGUAAACGGCGGCCGUAACUAUAACGGUCCUAAGGUAGCGAAAUUCCUUGUCGGGUAAGUUCCGACCUGCACGAAUGGCGUAAUGAUGGCCAGGCUGUCUCCACCCGAGACUCAGUGAAAUUGAACUCGCUGUGAAGAUGCAGUGUACCCGCGGCAAGACGGAAAGACCCCGUGAACCUUUACUAUAGCUUGACACUGAACAUUGAGCCUUGAUGUGUAGGAUAGGUGGGAGGCUUUGAAGUGUGGACGCCAGUCUGCAUGGAGCCGACCUUGAAAUACCACCCUUUAAUGUUUGAUGUUCUAACGUUGGCCCGUAAUCCGGGUUGCGGACAGUGUCUGGUGGGUAGUUUGACUGGGGCGGUCUCCUCCUAAAGAGUAACGGAGGAGCACGAAGGUUGGCUAAUCCUGGUCGGACAUCAGGAGGUUAGUGCAAUGGCAUAAGCCAGCUUGACUGCGAGCGUGACGGCGCGAGCAGGUGCGAAAGCAGGUCAUAGUGAUCCGGUGGUUCUGAAUGGAAGGGCCAUCGCUCAACGGAUAAAAGGUACUCCGGGGAUAACAGGCUGAUACCGCCCAAGAGUUCAUAUCGACGGCGGUGUUUGGCACCUCGAUGUCGGCUCAUCACAUCCUGGGGCUGAAGUAGGUCCCAAGGGUAUGGCUGUUCGCCAUUUAAAGUGGUACGCGAGCUGGGUUUAGAACGUCGUGAGACAGUUCGGUCCCUAUCUGCCGUGGGCGCUGGAGAACUGAGGGGGGCUGCUCCUAGUACGAGAGGACCGGAGUGGACGCAUCACUGGUGUUCGGGUUGUCAUGCCAAUGGCACUGCCCGGUAGCUAAAUGCGGAAGAGAUAAGUGCUGAAAGCAUCUAAGCACGAAACUUGCCCCGAGAUGAGUUCUCCCUGAGACUUAGAGUCUCCUGAAGGAACGUUGAAGACGACGACGUUGAUAGGCCGGGUGUGUAAGCGCAGCGAUGCGUUGAGCUAACCGGUACUAAUGAACCGUGAGGCUUAACCUUACAACGCCGAAG
rnacentral:rRNA from 1 species